AAGUCGUAACAAGGUCUCCGUAGGUGAACCUGCGGAAGGAUCAUUAUCGAGUUUUGACUGGGUUGUAGCUGGCCUUCCGAGGCAUGUGCACGCCCUGCUCAUCCACUCUACACCUGUGCACUUACUGUGGGCUUCAGAUCGUAAAACGGGUCCCUUUACCGGGCUUGCGGAGCGUGUCUGUACCUGCGUUUAUCACAAACUCUAUAAAGUAUCAGAAUGUGUAUUGCGAUGUAACGCAUCUAUAUACAACUUUCAGCAACGGAUCUCUUGGCUCUCGCAUCGAUGAAGAACGCAGCGAAAUGCGAUAAGUAAUGUGAAUUGCAGAAUUCAGUGAAUCAUCGAAUCUUUGAACGCACCUUGCGCUCCUUGGUAUUCCGAGGAGCAUGCCUGUUUGAGUGUCAUGAAAUCUUCAACCUGCAAGCUUUUGUGGUUUGUAGGCUUGGACUUGGAGGCUUGUCGGCCGUUCUCGGUCGGCUCCUCUUAAAUGCAUUAGCUUGGUUCCUUGCGGAUCGGCUCUCAGUGUGAUAAUGUCUACGCUGCGACCGUGAAGCGUUUGGCGAGCUUCUAACCGUCUCAGUUGGAGACAACUUUAUGACCUCUGACCUCAAAUCAGGUAGGACUACCCGCUGAACUUAAGCAUAUCAAUA
rnacentral:rRNA from 1 species